rfam:TPA: Bos taurus chromosome 7, whole genome shotgun sequence.
UCCCUGAUGGUUCAGUGGUUAAGACACCGCACUUCCAAUCCGAAGGACACAGGUUCACUUCCUGGUCAGGGAA